UACGGAGGGAGCUAGCGUUGUUCGGAUAUACUGGGCGUAAAGCGCACGUAGGCGGCGCAGCAAGUCAGGGGUGAAAUCCCGGAGCUCAACUCCGGAACUGCCCUUGAAACUGCAGUGCUAGAAUCCUGGAGAGGCGAGUGGAAUUCCGAGUGUAGAGGUGAAAUUCGUAGAUAUUCGGAAGAACACCAGUGGCGAAGGCGACUCGCUGGACAGGUAUUGACGCUGAGGCGCGAAAGCUAGGGGAGCAAACGGG
rnacentral:rRNA from 1 species